AUGAAGAAUGAUGAGCACUGUCUUGUCUUCAAAAUGGAUUUUCGAGGAGGAUGUCAUCAGUGGGAGAAGGAAAUCAACAAAUUGUCCAGUGACAUUCCAAGAUCUCAAGUUUUAGGAUAUCUAUCAUGUUCUGCAAACAUAAAUGGAUCAGGACAUAUAGCCCUGGCUUUUUUCUUUAUGAACCCUUAUGCCUCCAUUUGCCAUGGGAAAAUGAGUGAUGAAUAAUUUUCAAGACCAGGAAGCCUUCUAUACUUGUUUUUUCAUUGUGGAGACUGCCCAAGCAUCUAAUAAAAUACAGGAACUAAGAAUUGAAAUAGUGAUU
rnacentral:lncRNA from 1 species